AUGUGUGUUUUCUCAAGAGAGAGUCACUUGUGUUGGAGAGAUAAGACGCUGUCGGCGGACGUCGCCUUUUUGUGGCUGCACAGAGCUUGGUUACUCUCGAACGGCUCCCACAUGGGUACGGUCGUCCAGUGAGGGUCGUUUGGCAGAGGGGUGAUCGGUAGAGUUUUCUCCGGUUUUCCACGCGUCAUCGCUCCGCCAUGAACCUCCUCUUCACGCUACUCCUUCUAGCCGUGGCAGCCACCGCACCAAGUCACUGCAGCUGUCCCUCUGAACAAUGGAUCGCCUACCACAGCUUCUGCUACCUUCUCAUCGACUACGAGUGGACCUGGGACGACGCCCAAGACGCGUGUCAAACCCUGCACCCGGGCGCCACGCACGCAUCUACUCACGACGAGGAACAGAACACCUUCCUUGCGGAAAACGUGGCAGAUUCGCAUAGGGUUUGGCUGGGCCUUCGUCAGCCCAUUCCACACUACGAUUGGUACUGGGAUGACAGCUCCGAUGUGGACUUCACCUCGUGGGAUACGUAUGAGCCGCGCGCGGGUCCGAUGUCGAGCUGUGCGGUCCUAAACUCGGUUCACACCGGUAAAUGGGCCUCGGAGGAUUGUACUGCCUAUCACAGUCGUUCCAUCUGUCAGAUCAAACUCUGAUGGGGGCGUAAGGGCCGAUAGAAAAG